UGUCACGCCCCGGGACCCAGCGGAAGCCCGCCCGGCGCGUGCCCAGACCCGCCAUACGUCUAAAACAUAUAAGGCGUCUAAAAACAACAAUAAUAAAAGCAAUAAUAAAAGACAUCUAGGAGUAUCAGAGCAUAAUAAAUGUCUAAUUGCUACAGCAAGGGAUAAGGUUAAAACGUAAAUCCACUAAAUAAGACAUAAAGUAAAUACAAUAGGAAAUCCCA
rnacentral:lncRNA from 1 species